CUAUUUUAAUUCCUAUCUCGGUAAUUGCUCAUGUUUCAAGUUGGUGAGGAAGCUAUUCAACUUCUGUAUAAAGUAAUGCAAGUUUUUUUUUUACAGAGAUGCAAGAUCUUUCCCAAAGUAUCAUCUUGCCAUUAUCACGAAAGAAAAAGGAGUUGAAAAACAAGGGCCGUUAACUUUGGACAGUUAUUGGGGACCUGCAAUUCUAUAAAAUUUUUGUUUUCUCAUUUAAAACAAACUUAAUAAAAAAUCUACAGUAAAGAUCCAUUUCUUUAAUUGAAUAAAUUGAAAGAAGUUUUCAAUUAUAUAUUUAUUUGCAUUAAAUAUACAAAAGAAUAAGAAAAUAUUGAUUCUGGUAACCGUAUUGAUAAUCUUCAUUCUAAUAGACAUAAAUUUUACCUAACUUUUAUUUUUACAUAUAAAAACACAAGAUAGUACUUGUAAGAUUAAAACGCAUAUGUGCAAAAUUAAUUUAUGUAUGCUAAAAAUAAUAUAUUUUAUGGUACUUUUUAUAUAAAAUAGCAAUAAUAUCGAUUGUACAUUAAAGUGUUAGCACUUCGCAUCCAGUAUCUGUUAUUAAAAUUGUAUGUUCAACUUG
rnacentral:lncRNA from 13 species